rnacentral:lncRNA from 1 species
GAGACCUGCAAGGAAAGUCUAAAUCAGAGUUGGGAGUGCUCCGGCAAGACACUCCGACACUCAAGUCAGUACUCUGCUUCAACAGAAAUGGAGUGCUCGAGAAUUUUAGCAGAAUUUCGAGAUAGAAUUUAGAGCUUAGAGAAGAAUGUAUCUGGGGGUCCCUUUUUAUAGACGGAGAGCAUAACUGAUUGAUAGCGACGUCUGUAACCAUCUGGUAGUAGGCCGUUCAGAGCCACACGGAGUUUGUUACAGAGAGUAGUGGCAUCAGGGGUCGUUCAGGGCCACGUGGAGUUUGUUAUGGAGAGUGGAGUGGUGUCCGUUGUCAUAACUUGUCAGAGAGUGGUAGAGCCCAGAGAGUGGAGUGGUGUCUGUUGUCGCGACUUGCCAGAAAGUGGUGGAGUCACGUGGAAUCCAUUGUAGAGAGUGGAGUAGGGUAGUGGCCAUUGUCGUGACUUGCCAGAGAGUUCGGAUCUGUCAGUUGGAGCUCAGCUGGGAUGUCUGUUGGAGCGAAACGGCUCUCUAUCCCAUCGAUCUAGGAGA